ACGCGCUGCAAGGCUAAAUUAGCUUUUUCAUUUACGCUUUACAUCCCCUUCGGCCGCGUAUGUAACCGGAGUUUUGUAACCAGUUACCUAAGAAGAAAAAAUGAUCCUCAUAGGAUACUGGUAUCCAAGUGAUAUAUUUUUUUCCUUUCACGUAACCGAGUUACAACCUAGGAAAACUUCCUAAUGAUUACGAGUAAGUAAGUACUUUAUAUUCCUCGCAGGUAACUGCUUGAAAGAUAGGUAUGGUAUUAUCAACCUCUUUUGAUAUCAUGCACUCAACAUUCUUUAUAUAACUGACGUUUUCAUAACACCUAGCACGGUACUGCUACAACCUGAACGCACAAACUGAGACAGAAUAGUAUAGUACUGUUCUGUCUCAGCUUGUGCUGCCUACUAUUCUGCCCCGCUGCUCUGCCCUCGUGUGAAACGGGCAUAACUUUGCAACUCAAAUAUCAUGAACUAAGCGUAAUACGUUCUGUUGCCCUGGUACUUUUCACUCUUUUCUCACCACGAUAUUCGUCACUUAUUCCAGAUGUCUUCAAUUACAAAAAAAAUAAUAUGGUAUAGGUCCUCGGUAAAGCAUGGGUCCGGAUGACUCAUGGUUUCAUAAGAGUAUUAUUUAUUCCUUACUGGAUACUAGUUACGAACAAUCAUACAGGUAUCAGUAAAGGUAAAAAUCCUAUUACUUGGAUACCAGUAUCCUACGAGGAUCAUUUUUUAUUUUUAUGUAACUGGUUACAAAACUCCGGUUACAUACGCGGCCGAAGGGUUUAUUUACAUCAUAAACAAAAACCUCUUUGACAUGCCAAGGUCCCGGGCGCAAGCAAGCUAAUGUAUACCUAACUUGUAAGUGUCAAGUUUAUUUUGACAGUGUCUUAUGACAGACGUUUUUAGUUGUCCCUGGCGAUGUGGGGCUGUGGGCACGACUACAGUCAGAACAAGACAAGUCUGCAACGAUUUUGAUAGCACACGCAGAGCAAGUGUUAUUUUUCUACGUCAUAAUUUCAUAGAUGUUUGACGUGCCCCUCCCCCGCAAAAAUCAGUAGACUGUAGCAGGCUUGUUUUGUACAGAAAAUUCUCCAAUUGUCAAAUCCUCCAAGGUUAAAAUCGACAAUCUAGUCCAAACAUCUUAGAAAGGCGUCAUCAUAGUCUAUGAAUAAAGCACUAAAAAAUAAAAGUGACAUUUGUCAUUUUAUAUCGGGUGUCAUUUAAAAUCAUAAAUUUAUUUACAGAAAAUAAUUCUAAAAGAAAAUCUACCAAACAAAUUUACAAUAAAAACCAUAAAUUCCCAAGAUUUGAUCAGUGUUCCGUCCUAUUGACAAGGUUAGUUGACUUUUAUUCUACUAAGAUUGCAUGCGUUUGCUGCUGUUGACUAUAAGUAUAGCGGACUUGCAGACCUGCGAUAAUUAUCAUUGUAUUUCCAACUGACUUUUAAAAGGAGGAGGCUCUCCAUCCGGCUGAUUUUAUUUAACGAGAUAACGACAAACCCAAAAAGAUAGAGUUAUGAUUUUAGCAGUUUUUGUGUGCAUGUCUUUGAUGUGUCUAAAGAAUAAAUUACUCUUGGUGAAUUGGAGCUGCUCCUAAAAAACAUUACACCGUCAAUGUUAACUUAUAAGUAUUAUGAUGAUAGCUUUAUAGUCGUUCGUAAGAUAUUAGCAUGCUGGUAUAACCUGUAAAGUACUAAUAGCAGAAUAAGCAACCAAUUGCCACCUACCACGUAAAAACACUAUACUUAUUCUUUACAAAUAAAUACUGUAGUUAGGUAGAUACUUUGUUAAUUAUAUUCCAUAUCUGAUCAUUAGAUUUAUUUGUUGAAAUUUGUUGAAAAAGAGGACCUGUUCUAGUGCUCAUUAAGAUCGUAUAAUGAUCAACGGAACUCCAUAAUAAACCAAUUUACCUAUCCUAGUCAUGUUUGGAACAAUUGAAAUAAGAUGCACAAGUAUAUGUGAGUAAUAAAUGAUUUCAAAGGUAUUUUCACUACUCUUAAGUUAUUAUUAUUAUUAUACUCGUUGUAUUCCGAGGUUAUAAGCAUUAUUUGUUAUAAGUUAACUGUAGUCGAGCACGACGUUCUAAUAUUUAGAAUUAAUGGUUUCGUAGCCAAAAUGGCAAUAAAGAUCCAUCCGUCCGUCCGUCCGCCCGUUCGUCCGUCCGUCCGUCCGUUCGUUCGUCGGCCGUCCGUCCGUCCGUCCGUUCGUUCGUCGGCCGUCCGUCCGUUCCCAGCUGUCCGUCCUUUGUCUGUCCGUCCGUCCGUCCGUCUGUCUGUCUGUUUGUCUAUUUGUAUGUUAGAGCCAUUAGACUAGGAGUGUAUAUAGGUAUAAUAAUGAUAAUGACAUUUAGGAUGUAGGUAGUAAAAACGUAUAAGCUACUCUUUUUUACAGAGGCAACCAGGCGUACGGCCCGGCCCGUCCGAUAGUUUAGUUUAGUUUAUUCAUAUCACAUACUUACAGGUUUCAUUUUAUUAAGUUAGCUUAACCGUUAUAAAACGAUUGUUUAGAUACUUAUGCAAAGUAAGUUCCAGAAGAAGAAAAUGAAAAAUGAAUUACUAGUUUUGAAUUUUGACAAAGUAUUUAUAUAAGCACCAGGUUUUAGUAAUGUUACAGCAAGUCGGCAAUCUACGACGGUCGCUUAGCUUACGAGUAGUUGCUGGUGAUUCUACCCACAAAACUGCAAAUCCCGGGUUCGAUUCCCGAUAAGGGCAUUUAUUAGCAUGAUGAACACGGAUAUCUUUAUUUGUUUAUGUAAGCCCAUACAAGCUUUUAUUUAACUUGCUCUGUUAGUAUGUAAGUUUGUUAGUUAGGGUGGGUCAAAUCUUGGAAACUAAAAUUGACCCACUUCCCGAUUCCCGAUUAAGCUGAAGAUUUGCAUACAUAAUAACAUAUAAGUCGGGUGACAAUGCAAUAUUAUGGUACCAUCGAGCUGAUCUGAUGACGGAUACAGGAGGUGGCCAUAGAAACUCUGUGAUGAAACAACGGAACUAUAUUGUGUUUGGGGUUUUUAGAAUUAUCUCGAUGAGUAUUUAGUUACCUAUGGUAAGAAAAGUACAGUCAGCGACAAAGGUUUGUACCCAAAAAAGAUAAAAACUUUUUUUUUUGGCAAAAACUUACCUAUUUAUAAAACAGUUUCGUUACUUAUAUACUGACAGACAACACAUACAGCUUAAUAAAUCGUUGAAGUUAAAACUAUGAAAUUUAAAACAUUACAUAUAUAGUACAAAUGAUGUAGAGGUGCCCUAAGGUAGGAUUUUCUGAAAUUUAACCCUUAAGGGGUAAGAAGGGGCUUAAAGUUAUUUAAGUUAUCUUUAAUUAUGUGAGUGUAUUUUUCAGUUAAAAUAUAAGUGAUUGUGACUGAUAAUGUUUUUUUAUUUUCAUAACUGCAAAUCUGCUUUCAACUGGCCUGGAUAUACAAGGAGACAAAUCAUGAAUGGACCAGAGCAACUAUGUUGAGCUACCUUCUUAUAAUAAUUAAGAAGUGGAGGGCGAUCCUUAUUUUAACAGUCGGAAACUUAUGCCUGACGAAACCGAGACGUUAUAUAAAAUGCAUUUAUGGUAAGAUAUUGUGUAUACAUAGAAAUGUAUAUUCCCAAUUAUUUCCAAAUCAGUUCUACUGAUCUAGUUGCAGUUAUAUGUAAAGCAUUUGUGAUACACCAGCGAUGGUUAUUAGAUGGUUUUGAGGUGACAUUGUUAUAAUUGUCGAUUUUUUAAAAUUUAAACUUAAACUUCUUAAAGACUACACAUGCGCAGGCAUGUAUGUUCGUAACAAGUAAGUCAAAGAUAUGUAAGCCUAUAUCUUCUUUAAGUAAUUUAAGAUCAUAUGAAUUUAUCCUCGAAAAGUCUAGAUUUUCUCAUUAUGAAAACGCUACCCACUGAGUGAUUAACCUUGAUACUUUUUUAUUUGUUUUGAAAUUCGACCAACAUUUGUAAUAGUGUCAUAUGAUUAAAUAAAUGAAUAAAUUACAAAUAUACUGAUAUCCCAAGAAACAGAAAAAAGAAUCGCAUAAUAUUGCCGAGUUAUGUCUGUGGGUUAGCUUAGAGAAGAACCACUAAUUACGAGUACAUACUCGUAUUACCAAUACUCUGUCUAUGAAGUAGGCGAGCCUGGCUUCGAAUCCUCGUACGGGAAUUUAAUUGAUAUGUUUUUUGCAAAUACCUUGGUAACCUUUUUGUUACGAUGUGAGAACUGUUACCUAAAACUAAUGUAAGUACUUUUGUCAAGGUAGAGAACUAUAGUACAAUGGCUACAAAUAUACAUAAAUAGUUGGUACCAAAUAUGAGUCGUGCGUAACAGAAAUAAAAUAUUUUUUAUGUCAUAUUCCCCUAUAGGUACUAGGAAACUUUAAUGUGUAACUCAUCAUCCCUUAAUGUGUGUUUUUUUUUGCAUUGCUUAGACGAAAAGCUCUUCAUUAGUUUGGCUACGGCGGUGAUCAGGUGUAAUCGGAGCGAUGUUGUCAAAUUGAAACGGAGAUAAUUUAUAAUUAUAUUGGUGACAAUAUUGGCUUGUUUUUAUUUUGUAAGUAGGUGUGUAGUUUUAACCUAAAUACUUAUUUAAAUAAUCUUCAGAGUGGUACUGUCAGCAUCUAUCAUAGUGGAUAAAACAACGCGCCAAAAGUAUCUGCCACCAUCGAACACUUUUCCAAUAUAUCUGUACAGUUCGCGUUACAAAGUAUUUUGUCGCAGUUGAUUUUUUAGGGUUCCGUACCCAAAGGGUAAAGCGGGACCCUAUUACUUAGACUCCGCUGUCCGGCCGUCCGUCCGUCUGUUCGUCCGUCCGUCCGUCUGUCCGUCCGUCCGCCCGUCUGUCCGUUCGUCCGUCCGUCCAUCUGUGCGUCCUUUCGUCCGCCCGUCCGUCUGUUCGUCUGUCCGUCCGUCUGUCCGUCUGUCCGUCCGUGCGUCUGUCUGUCUGUCCGUCCGUCCGUCUGUCACCAGGCUGUAUCUCAUGAACCGUGAUAGUGAGAAAGUUGAAAUUUGCACAGAUAAUGUAUUUCUGUUGCCGCUAUAGCAACAUAUACCUACUAAAAAACAAAAUUAAAUAAAUAUUUAAGGGGCCUCCCAUACAACAAACAUAUUUUUUUGCCGUUUUAUAGAUAAUUGUACGGAACCCUUCGUAGAGUCCAACCCGCACUUGGCCGGUUUUUUGUGUAUAGAGACGUAUCUCUUUAGGUUAAGUUAUAUGUAAAGCAUUUGUGAUACACCAGCGAUGGUUCUUAGAUGGUUGUGAGGUGACAUUGUUGUAAUUAUCACUGUUUUUUUUUUUAAAUUUAUACUUAUAGUACUUAGUAUUAGCUUCUUAAAGACUACACAUGCGUAGGCAUGUAUGUCCAAUGUGUGUAUGAAUGUAUAUAGAAUGAUAGCUACUUUUGAUGCUGACUAUACGUAUAAGUAGCGGCUGUAGAGUUCGGAACAUUUGACUAGGUAUAUCUAAUAAGUGUAAUGUUAAAUGUAAAUCCCUACUAAUAUUAUAAAUGCGAUUAGUAUCUAACUCUGAUUCAAAUGAAGUUCAAUUCAGGGAGUCCUCGGAGAUAGGAUGUAGGUUAGUUUUAUCCUGAAAUCCUGUCUACAGGAGAUGAGAAGGGAAUAUUGGAUCGCGUACGCAAUACAUAUUUUUAACUAACUACCUCUUAGCCAAUUUGAAACAUUGCAAAAAAAAACCCUUUCAUUAUAAUAAGUACCUAAUUAUGUUACUAAUAAAUAAAUAAAUAAAUAAAUAAAUAUUAUAGGACAUUAUUACACAAAUUGACUAAGUCCCUCAGUAAGCUUAAUAAGGCUUGUGUUGUAGGUACCUAGGCUUGUGUUGUAGGUACUAAUUAAGCCUUAUUUAUAUCUAUUGAUUUUGUAUCAUAAUGUAAAGCGAAGUAUUUGCCGUGCACGUAGGUAUGUACGAGUAUGGAAUCAUAUCGUUAAGUAUGUAUGUGUGUUCGUAUAUUACAUGUGACGAAGAUGUUGAUAUUUGUAAGAAGGAUCCCUACAAACUACUUUAAACUGAGAAGUAGGCGGUCCCAGGUUCGAAUCCUGGUAAGAAAAUAUAGAUGCUACAAUCCACUUACUGCACCAGUUAGCAGAAUUGAAACUAAGAUAACUGUUUGUAGCCUUUUGGAUAGAAACCCUGGCUAAGAAAAAAGCGACUCUGGGUUCGAAUCCUUGUUAGAAAACUAAUUUAUAUGUGGAGACUUGAGAGGUUUUUAUUGGACGUACUUUCGCCACUCUUAGAAAUUAAAUAAACUUCCUAAAUUUAAUCAGUGUGAAUAAAAAAGUAUACAUAAUAUAUACUGAAUAGGCAUUCUUCGCAAACUGAAUAGAAUUGACCAGAAUAGGUUUUUUUACUGAUCAUGUAAACUUGACAAAGUUAUCUUAUUAAACACGUCCAUAUGUUGCUUAUGCAUGUAUGUAUGUAGUUGCGCUUUUGAUUUAACUCCCGUCUUCCAUUACGAUGGUACAAAAUACAAACGGUAAGCUUUACAUAAUAUGGAUACCCGUUAUCAAAAUUCUAAAUAGCCCCACAAGUGGGUUGGUCUAAUAGCAUUUUGCGAGUCGCAUUCCAAGUUACAGUGGUAUAUAGGUAUACAAGGAAACAAUACCAAAGGUAUUAGAUGUAAAAAAUAUAUAUUAGGGCAUUACCUUACAACUUCCUAAAGUGGAGAUGAGUUUGUUCUUGUCGAUCACACGGUCUCAAGUAUCAUUGUGCAGGUAAUCCAUUUCCCGCCCAGGAGCCUAAAGUAUAAUUGAGUGCUAGUCAAAGUUUAGAACUCAGAAUUAAAAAAGGUUUCUUUCUCUCGAAAAGGCGUCGCCAUUGUUUAAUAUCUAUUUCAUUUUGUUUAUUUUUUUACGAUAAUCUACACACUUCUACCAUUCUUACUAUAUAUAUUAUAAAUAUUAUAAAUGCGAUAAUAACUCAUAUCACUCGUCUUGCUUAUGGAAAAAAUCCAGAAAGCGUUUCUGCGAUUAUUAUAUAAAAAGGUUUACGGGUAUUACCCAUAUUUGUACCCAUCAAAGUUCCUGCUUGGCGUUUUAGGGUUUAAUUCUUUAGAGGUGAGACGUAACUACGGGCUAUUGACUACUGUAUGUAACGUCUUACGGUGGAACUCAGACUGGCCUGAACUGGUUGCACAGCUCGUACGCCUGUUCGUUCCAUCUGUGGCUAAGGCCCAAUUUAAUUUCCGACCACGAAUUCGUCACCUAUUAGCGGUGCCUAAAACACGCACUAUGUCCCAUGGCAAAUCACCACUUGUCCGCGCUCUACAAUAUAUCGCGCUCCUCGCAUCAGCACCGGAAUGUAAUGUAUUUGCAAGUAGUAGGAUGGAUAUGUGUAAAGAAUGUAUGAAGUUCUGUGAGACGAUGGAUAAGCGAGAAUCUUCUGUUUUUUAUUUGUUUUUCUUUCUUAACUUUGUUCUCUUUUUCCUUUCUAGACUGUAUCAUGUACCUAGUUUGUAUACAUACUGUCUAUUAAAAAUUUCACAGUGUAUUAGUUUGCUGUAAUGCUGUGUAAAUUUUUUGAAUCAAUAAAAUAAAAAAUAAACUCUGUGUAAAAUUUGGUAUGGAGAUUGUUUCAGAGCCGGGGAAGGACAUCAGGAUAGUUUCUAUGAUUCAUCAUCAUUCUACGUCUACGCGUACGAAGUCGAGGGCAGAAACUAGUACUUAAAUAAAUGUAAUAUAAAUAAUAUUACUUAAUUAAGAGGGUAACAUAAAUAAUAACUAGACUUCGAUAGGUACCUAAAACAGUUUUAUAUUAAAUCAGGUUUCGUUGGAGGAAGAGUCAGAAUUUUGAGCAACGAUGCUAUGCGAGAAGUCGCGCAAAACAACGCGAGUUGCGUAUCCUGUACUGGAGGCCAAGACCCACGGUGCUGCUGAUUUACAAAUGAAAAUUUGUGUAAUGAUAUGCAAACGAAACCAGAGGAAUUAAGUGUUCAGCGGAACUGCUCCUGAAAAAAAGAUUGCUGUCAUAAGAGAUGCGGGUAUCUACUUUCAAUAUGUGUGACCAGCCUAUAAGAUCGAACCUGAAGCAAACAAGACAAUUUACCCUUAAAUGUAUUAGUAUAAGUUUGCCUAUUUAUUAUUAAUUCUCCAUAUUGCCUAAUAAAACAACUAUAUUGUGCAUUAGAAGACAGUAUCAUCCGGACAUGGUAUAUCAGAAUGUUACGUUCUGUGGAUAUACUCUGUUCUAAUGCACAGACAUUUUUAUUGUGUGAUUAAUUCAUGGGAUCCAUAAAUUGAGACUAUGACGAUUGCCCAUGGUAUGUGUUUAGUAGUAGUAGUAAGAAAAGCAUUCCUUUUUACCAAUUUGAGAAAGGCCCUUUUUUCUUGUAUCGUCGUCAUAUAUAUUAUGUCAACCUUAAACUUGUAUGUAGUAUUAAAGUCACUUCUAGGGUACUUUUGAAGGUUUAAUUCUACUUACUUACAUAUAUGACAUGACAAUAGGGUUAGUGGAAGAAAUAAGAUGUAGACGAGUGCAUGCUAUAAUAGCGUAAAUUAAGUAUCUAUAAGUAUUACUCCUUCAGUAUUAGACCUAUAUAGAUGAGCCUUUCAGCUUUUUUUGGACAACAUUUGUAACACUUGAUGAGGUUAUUGUACAUUUUUUUUUCCUUUGCUACUAUCUACUCAGGUUGCAUUUUUUGUGAUCCAAGCUUGCCUUUUGGAGUGAAAUAUAAUGGCGAAAAGAUGAAUGUAAAUAUUGUUGUCCAUUGAUAACGUUCUCUGCAGAUUUUGACGGCGAAAUUAAUAACACUGUCAAUAACUAUAUACUUAUUUUAUUAUUCAUAUUUUAAAGGGACUCUUAUUAUAAAAGUAUGAUACAAAUUUCGGAUCGGCAAUCCAGAGGUGUGGGUUCGAGUCCCACGAUGGCCACAGUUCAUCAUCACAGUUAAUUUAUUACAUUGUGAUUGACAUCUGUAUAUACAAUUCAUAAAGUAUACCAUUUUAAUAUUUGCUGCCCACCUUAUUAAAUUUUAGAGAAGAAGAAACAAUAUACGAGAAGUUCUGUACUAAGUGCAUAAAUACCAACAUAAUGACAAUAUUGUGUAAUAAUUCUGUCUAUUUUUGUUAAGUACCUACGUUAUAAUGUAUAGUUUUUAUUUUAUUUAUUGAUUAAUUAGUCACCUUAGGAUGUCGUUAUAGGUACUUGCUAAGCUAUAGGUUUAGCUUGUAAGACUCCAGUAACAUCAUUAUUAAGAUGUAACUCGUUUGUAACUACAGGAUCUACAAUAGCGUCUUAUAAGGGUGAAGUAUUAUUUUCUUUUCCGAUAUAAGGAGCUCUAAAAGACUUUUUUACGCCUGUUUAGACCCAGAAAACGCAAAUAGCAGCUGCUUAUUGCGUGUAUGGAUGUUAAGGUUGUACGAUUCACUUUAAGCUGUAACACUAACUUCUUACAAGUAGCAUGCAUUAUAGCGACCAAUACAGCUACCUGUGGCUCGGUGAACCUCUUAAACACUUUUAUGUCAACUGUACCUGUAGGCUAAGACUACGAGUAUGUAGCUAUUCUAGAGCUGUUUUAUGUCUAUAUUAGGUUCGGCUUUUCGUCCGUCUGUCUCUCUCUCUCUCUCUCUCUCUCUCUCUAUCUCUAUCUCUAUCUCUCUCUCUCAGUUACCACUUCACGCUUAAACCGCUUUAGAUAAAAUUUGUUCUGGAGGUAGUUUGAGGCCCGAGGAAGAUAAUAGGAUAGUUUUUAUCAAUCAUCAUCAUCAUCCCACGCAGACGAAGUCGCAGGUAGAAGAUGGUUAACUAUAAUAAUGGAUUGGAUAACAAUGCGUACGGUUACAGAUAACUUCUUGAUACGUUUUUGGUGACCGUAAAAAAUAAUAGCAGCAUGCAGAGGCCUUGGAAAUUGCACUUAAAAUGUAAUACUUAUAUAAGCUGUAUAUAAUGUAAAUACGAGUAUAUCGAUCACUUAUAGACAGGAAGGAAACUUAUUGUAAGGAAAUGUGAUGCAGUCGGCGAGACAAUACAAAGUCGUAUAGAUAAUAAUAUAAUAUAUUAAUGUAAAAGGCUGAAAGAGAAUAGGUAAACUGAUUAUGUAAUUGAUGAUUCGACCAAGAAGAAAAUGAAUGACUGAGAUGUCUAGUAACCGAAGUCUGAAAGCGAUACUAAGGGCCAGUCGCACCAACCGCAAUUAGCGGACUGAUUAACGUCACUCACCGGUGACAUGAAAUUUCCUAAAAAAUAAAUUUAAGUAGUGAAAGCUUUAACUGUGACAAAUGGUCUGUGUACGUGAGAUAUGCAAACGGAUGACAAACUGCUAUAAUAGUACGGGCACGUCUGAAAAUAUCGAUACAAAAAAAGUGCCAAAAAUAUGUGUACACGACUUUAUUGCCCAUAUAUUAAGGUGGUGUAUAUUUCAGACGUACGUUACUGUACGCCCCUAUUAUUAGAGUGGAACCAAGGGCAAGAUUUUUAAACUCUUUUUUUAUUUAGUUUACAUAGUAGCGUUACAAAAUCGUUUAUAUAAGGUAUAAUUAUGGUAAAAGGGAAUGCACUAUUAUAUUUCUAAAGUCGUCGUUACUAGUCGUGCCCACAGCGGCGUGGCGCGGUGGGCACGACGAGCGACGACGCAUUUAGGUGUUAUUGGCGUUCAAAGGGUUAAAAAAAUCAGUAUGAAGUGCCUACCGCGAAAAUCAAAAUUUUGCUAUCCGUCUAUCACUCUUGCAUAAACGAGCGAUACAAUGGCGGAUAGAGAAAUUUCGAUUUUCGCGGUAGACCUCGAUGGUCUACCGUGAAAAUCGUUUUUGGUGACCAUAAACAACGCAUUAAUCAACAAAGCCGUAAUAUUAACCCCCUUAGUACAUUAACCUUACGUCUAUGGACGGUAGAGAACUCCAUACUUACGUCCGAAGUACGUAUCGGGUCUACGUUGGUCAAUUUAGAUAUACUAAUAGUCGCGUGUCACCAUGAGGUAUACGGCCGUUUCCGAUUAGCGUUUUAUACAAGCGUACGUGUACGCGCGUGUAAGCUGGUAUAGACUAAAUGUAGGUAAAAGUAACGCGCGCGUAUGCCCGUAAAAAGCAAAUGCAGGGAAAUGUAACGCGCGUAUAAGCUCGUAUCGCUGUAAGGGCCGUAUACGCUAGGCUGAAACCGCUCAUAACGAAGCGGCCGAAGUGCACAAAAAAAUCGAAACAUGCACUCUAACGCCUUGACAAUAGAGGCAUGUUCAGAUAUUUGUGAGUAUCUUGGCCGCUCCAAUAUAUAUAAUGGCGACUACAUAUUACCAAAGAGCAAAUUUUGUAGCCACAGUAAAGUUACUGCCAUCUUUCGACAUAUGAUUAAAACUUUUGGAACGCACGAAUAAAAAGUGGCAACAUCAUACCAAGCAUCGGCUAAAGGUUGUGGCGCCAUCGCUCGAAACGAUACCGCCAUGCAUUUGGCUUUUGAUCUAUUAGAUUUAUUCAUUAACAAAUUUAACAUAUAUCAGUGAAAGAAUAAUGAUCAAAGUCAAAUGGCGUUCUAAAAGUUUUAAUCAUGUGUCGGAAAAUGGCAGUAAUUUAUCGUGGUUACAAAGUUUUUUUUUUAGAAUCCACCUCUAUUUCAAAUUCUCUUUAAUACCCAUACAUUAACCCUUUGAAUGCUUUAUGUCAUAAACACAACAUCAGUCAAACACCAAAAUCCCGGGCGCAAGGGGGCCAAUGUAAACCUUAGGUAUUCGAAAGUGUGAAGGUUACUUUGACAGCGUCUGCCAGAACACCUAUAGGUGUCCUUGGCCCUGUGGGUACGACAAGUAACGACGAUUGUAGGUAUUUUUGGCGUUCAGAAUGUUAAUCUGUACUGCAUAUCUCGUUUUCGCUCAUCCUAACCUAUCACCCAUCCUGCGUCCAUAGACGGUAGAGAAAGGACGAAAAUCUCUUAUGACAGAACUAUUGCAAAAGUAACCAGCUUUCAGCUUUAACCUUUUGAACGCCAAGAGCCACUAAAGUGGUCGUGUGCUGUCGUGCCUACCACGCCAACGACCACUAAAGAGGUCAUGGCAGACGCUGUCAAAGCAAUUUUACUGUUGACAGAUAAGGUUUAAAUUCGUUUCUCAAUAGUUGACAUAUUGGCGUGUAUGCCACAUUUUGAUGAGAGGGAGAAAGCGUUGAAAAGGUUAACCCUUUGCCAGGCUAAGGAAUAUUAUUUCACACAUGCGGCUCUUCAAACAUGUGUUCUAUUUUCGAUGAGUAAGACUGACAUUCGAUUGUCAUUUUUGAACUGUCAGCCUGGUAAAGGGUUAAAUAAUAGUUCCUAAUCUCUCCGGUGGCGCUAGGUAGGCUCAUGGAUAUUACAUGAAUCAUAUACGUAUAAUAACAUAGAGAUGAAAUGGGGAGGGGCAGCAAAUAACCCGACCAAAUUACGACGAGCCUACCUAGCGCCACUGGAGAGAUUAUUAGGAACUAUAAUUUAACCUUUUGUACCUAACCCUUACUUGAAAAAAAGUUUACUUUGACAGCGUACGUCAUGACACCUAUAGUUGCCUUGGCGCUGUGGACUAGAUAACGACGCUUUUAUUUUAUUUUCUUGGCGUUCAAAGGGUUAAAGCUGAAAGCUGGUCACUUUUGCAAUAGUUCUGCCAUAAGAGAUUGUCGUCCUUUCUGUACCGUCCAUACUUUAGAUUGACCUAUGUUAGCCCAAUUUGACAUUGCAAAUGUCAAGCAGAAUUAGCUUUAUCCGACACGACAGUGUGUACACCAACCAUACAAAUGGCGACAGCACACGAAAACUGAUUGCAUUCACACUGCGACAGAGUUAAGCGCCACCAUAGCGUUAUAUUCCUAUAAAAAUGUGGUGUUUACCUAGUGGCGCUAGCACACUUUGGAGGGGAAGGACAUUAUUGUAAUAUUUAUAACACAAACGUUAUGAUUUUUUUCUAAUGUCAAGCAAAUGUUAGUCCAAUUUAUAUACGUUAAAUAAAGUAUCUGAAUGAUA